GCAAGGGAGGAAGUGAGGUGACGUCCAUGAUAGGUGUGGGAAAGGAAGACAGGAGGUGUGAGCAUGGCAAGGGCGGAAGUGACGUUACUUUAGAAGCAACUUUAGGGUGGUGGCUGACGUACUUUCAACAAUACACCAUAUUAUAACUAAUAAAAUAAGUCAGAGAAGCAACAUUCCGUUCUGCAAAAUGAAAUACUAAACUAUGAACAGACCUGGCAGGAUAAAUAAGACAGUUGAGAACAUUAUGCAUUUAACAGCCCA